GCCAACAGCCACACCACCCUGCUGCAUCCCUGACUUCCGUCUAAAGCUAAGCAGGGUUGGGCCUGGUCAGGGCUUGGAUGGGAGAAUGCCUGGCAAAAUCAAGUUGCUGCUAGAA
rnacentral:rRNA from 1 species